rnacentral:rRNA from 1 species
ACGGGAGGCAGCAGUGGGGGAUAUUGCACAAUGGGGGGAACCCUGAUGCAGCGACGCCGCGUGAGUGAUGAAGUAUUUCGGUAUGUAAAGCUCUAUCAGCAGGAAAGAUAAUGACGGUACCUGACUAAGAAGCACCGGCUAAAUACGUGCCAGCAGCCGCGGUAAUACGUAUGGUGCAAGCGUUAUCCGGAUUUACUGGGUGUAAAGGGAGCGUAGACGGCAUGGCAAGCCAGAUGUGAAAGGUGGGGGCUCAACUCCCAAGCUGCAUUUGGAACUGUCAAGCUAGAGUAUCGGAGAGGUAAGUGGAAUUCCUAGUGUAGCGGUGAAAUGCGUAGAUAUUAGGAGGAACACCAGUGGCGAAGGCGGCCUGCUGGACUGUUACUGACGCUGAGGCACGAAAGCGUGGGGAGCAAACAGGAUUAGAUACCCUGGUA